rnacentral:lncRNA from 1 species
CAAGAGAAAACUCGCCACAAACUUGUAAGCAUGACGGCUGUGCUGGCAUCUUUGGCCGCAGUGGUGGUAGUAUCGCUGCUGCUGAUGAAUGCCGGUGGACAACAGCGUCCGGAGCCAAAUUGCGCGACGGGGCGGACGGCGACGAUUCUGAGCUACUGCCUGCCCACUGUUCUCCACGAGAGCCCGCCAAAUAGCACCGUCUCACGCCUCUGUUGCAACACUCUGGCUACUUACACCUGGGACUGCCUGUGCGCCCUUGGCCCGCACCAGUUUAGAUGGUUCCUCGUCUUCAUGGAGGACGUCACCACCUUGUGUGGAGCCCCAGUUAUCGGCUGCAAGUAAGUACUAUACUAGCUCCAGAUUCUAGUUUAGUGUGAUGCUUCAUAUUGUAUUGGUUGUUUUUCUCAGUUUCUCCACACGCAAGAAAAUCACAGGCAACGAGAGUACACAACACGAAUGAUCCGCUCAAAGUAACGCUAGUGCUCUCUAGAAU